AGUUAACGUUGGCGGCGUGCCUAACACAUGCAAGUCGUACGAGAAAGCCGGCUUCGGCUGGUGAGUAAAGUGGCGCACGGGUGAGUAACGCGUGGAUAAUCUGCCCUUAAGUGUGGAAUAACGUACCGAAAGGUGCGCUAAUACCGCAUAAUGCCUGGCAACACAAGUUGUCCGGCCAAAGAAGGCCUCUGUUUACAAGCUUUCGCUUCAGGAUGAGUCCGCGUACCAUUAGCUUGUUGGUGGGGUAAUGGCCUACCAAGGCUGCGAUGGUUAGCUGGUCUGAGAGGAUGAUCAGCCACACUGGAACUGAGACACGGUCCAGACUCCUACGGGAGGCAGCAGUGAGGAAUAUUGCGCAAUGGGGGCAACCCUGACGCAGCAACGCCGCGUGAGUGAGGAAGGUUUUCGGACUGUAAAGCUCUGUCGAGCGGGAAGAAGUGUACCAUGGCUAAUAUCCAUGAUAUUUGACGGUACCGCUAGAGGAAGCAACC
rnacentral:rRNA from 1 species